AGGACGAACGCUGGCGGCGCGCUUAACACAUGCAAGUCGAGCGAGAACCGGGACUUCGGUCCUGGGGACAGCGGCGAACGGGUGAGUAACACGUGGGUAAUCAACCCUCGGCACCGGGAUAGCCCGAGGAAACUCGGAUUAAUACCGGAUAGCCCCUCCGACUCUCGAGUCGGUCGGGAAAGGUAGCUUAGGCCUCUGGCCGGGGACGAGCCCGCGGCGGAUUAGCUUGUUGGUGGGGUAAUGGCCUACCAAGGCAACGAUCCGUAGCUGGUCUGAGAGGACGAUCAGCCACACUGGGACUGAGACACGGCCCAGACUCCUACGGGAGGCAGCAGCGGGGAAUCUUGCGCAAUGGGCGAAAGCCUGACGCAGCGACGCCGCGUGAGGGAAGAAGGCCUUCGGGUUGUAAACCUCUUUCAGGAGGGACGAAGCUACUCGGGUGAAUAGCCCAGAGGGUGACGGUACCUCCAGAAGAAGCCCGGCUAACUACGUGCCAGCAGCCGC
rnacentral:rRNA from 1 species